UUGAAGGUGAGUUAGCAUCUACCGUGA
rnacentral:sRNA from 1 species